rnacentral:rRNA from 1 species
AGUUUGAUCAUGGCUCAGAUUGAACGCUGGCGGCAUGCCUUACACAUGCAAGUCGAACGGUAACAGGUCUUCGGAUGCUGACGAGUGGCGAACGGGUGAGUAAUACAUCGGAACGUGCCCGAUCGUGGGGGAUAACGAAGCGAAAGCUUUGCUAAUACCGCAUACGAUCUACGGAUGAAAGCAGGGGACCGCAAGGCCUUGCGCGAACGGAGCGGCCGAUGGCAGAUUAGGUAGUUGGUGGGAUAAAAGCUUACCAAGCCGACGAUCUGUAGCUGGUCUGAGAGGACGACCAGCCACACUGGGACUGAGACACGGCCCAGACUCCUACGGGAGGCAGCAGUGGGGAAUUUUGGACAAUGGGCGAAAGCCUGAUCCAGCCAUGCCGCGUGCAGGAUGAAGGCCUUCGGGUUGUAAACUGCUUUUGUACGGAACGAAAAGACUCUGGUUAAUACCUGGGGUCCAUGACGGUACCGUAAGAAUAAGCACCGGCUAACUACGUGCCAGCAGCCGCGGUAAUACGUAGGGUGCAAGCGUUAAUCGGAAUUACUGGGCGUAAAGCGUGCGCAGGCGGUUAUAUAAGACAGAUGUGAAAUCCCCGGGCUCAACCUGGGAACUGCAUUUGUGACUGUAUAGCUAGAGUACGGCAGAGGGGGAUGGAAUUCCGCGUGUAGCAGUGAAAUGCGUAGAUAUGCGGAGGAACACCGAUGGCGAAGGCAAUCCCCUGGGCCUGUACUGACGCUCAUGCACGAAAGCGUGGGGAGCAAACAGGAUUAGAUACCCCGGUAGU